GGGGGCGACCCGGUUUCGACGUGGGUUGCGAAGCAGCGCAGGGCAUACCGAGGACCAGUUCCCUCGUAAAUCUACUGGAAAUCAAUAGUCGCAAACGACGAAACUUACGCUCUAGCCGCUUAAUCGGCUGGACUCCGCACCGUUUUUCUCAUGGGACGGGCCGGGCAACCGGCGGCGGAGUCAUUCACAUGAGAUCGUGCCAUGCAGGGUUACUUUGGAUGGCAUUAAACGCAAGGUGACUCGCUCGGCAAUAGCCUGUCGGUUGGCGCUUGCCGGGUUAAAUCAAACAACACGACUAAGUAUGUAGAACUGCCUGUAGAGGGCUUGCGGACGGGGGUUCGAUUCCCCCCGCCUCCACCA
rnacentral:tmRNA from 1 species